CAUCACCAGUCAGCUCAAGGCAGUUAAUUGAAGCAAGAGCUAGGAGCUUCCUGAUGCUUAAUGUGUCAGAAAAACUAAGUGCUUUUCUGGCAAAACUCUCAGAAGAAGGCCUUCCUAUACCACCAGAAGGAGCAUUUUAUAAGAUAGAGAAGCUACCAUCAGCCAGCAUGCAACAAGCUGAGAUUUUGACACUUCACAAAGAUACAUGCCAGAACAUAAAAUGAAGCCACUGAGGGAUAAGAAAAAGAUGUUCUUGCCUCAUUUUCUUGUUGAUAUUUUAAUGGAAUUUCCAUACCACAGAAUUAUGCAAAAGUAUCUCCAAUACAACUUUCCAGUUCAGGAUACAUACGGAUAUUUAUUCAAAUAGCCCCUGGUUAUAACUGUUCAGUCUGGGGAGAAGGGAGAACAUGUAUAAUUAAUUUACUUAGAAAUGUCAUAAAACUCAAUGAUGUAUAAUGAAAUGGCACAUCAAUAAAUACAGAAAUAUCAUUUAAUUCCA
rnacentral:lncRNA from 1 species